GAUGAACGCUGGCGGCGUGCCUAAUACAUGCAAGUCGAGCGAACAGACGAGGAGCUUGCUCCUCUGACGUUAGCGGCGGACGGGUGAGUAACACGUGGUUAACCUACCUAUAAGACUGGGAUAACUUCGGGAAACCGGCGCUAAUACCGGAUAAUAUAUUGAACCGCAUUGUUCCAUAGUGAAAGACGGUUUUUGUGUGACUUAUAGACUGAUCCGCGCCGCAUUCGCUAGUUGGUAAGGUAACGGCUUACCAAGGCAACGAUGCGUAGCCGACCUGAGAGGGUGAUCGGCCACACUGGAACUGAGACACGGUCCAGACUCCGACGGGAGGCAGCAGUAGGGAAUCUUCCGCAAUGGACGAAAGCCUGACGGAGCAACGCCGCGUGAGUGAUGAAGGUCUUCGGAUCGUAAAACUCUGUUAUUAGGGAAGAACAAAUGUGUAAGUAACUAUGCACGUCUUGACGGUACCUAAACAGAAAGCCACGGCUAACUACGUG
rnacentral:rRNA from 1 species